rnacentral:tRNA from 1 species
GGGUGAUUAGCUCAGCUGGGAGAGCAUCGCCCUUACAAGGCGAGGGUCACUGGUUCGAGCCCAGUAUCACCCACCA